rnacentral:rRNA from 1 species
AUACGAUGGGUGGCGAGUGGCGGACGGGUGAGUAAUGCAUCGGGAUCUACCCUGACGUGGGGGAUAACCUCGGGAAACCSGGACUAAUACCGCAUACGUCCUACGGGAGAAAGCGGGGGACCUUCGGGCCUCGCGCGGCAGGACGAACCSAUGUGCGAUUAGCUAGUUGGCGGGGUAAUGGCCCACCAAGGCGACGAUCGCUAGCUGGUCUGAGAGGAUGAUCAGCCACACUGGGACUGAGACACGGCCCAGACUCCUACGGGAGGCAGCAGUGGGGAAUAUUGGACAAUGGGCSCAAGCCUGAUCCMGCAAUGCCGCGUGUGUGAAGAAGGCCUUCGGGUUGUAAAGCACUUUUAUCAGGAGCGAAAUACCACGGGUUAAUACC